AUAUCAAUAAGCGGAGGAAAAGAAACCAACAGGGAUUGCUCUAGUAACGGCGAGUGAAGCAGCAAUAGCUCAAAUUUGAAAUCUGGCGUCUUCGACGUCCGAGUUGUAAUUUGUAGAGGAUGCUUCUGAGUGGCCACCGACCUAAGUUCCUUGGAACAGGACGUCAUAGAGGGUGAGAAUCCCGUAUGCGGUCGGAAAGGCGCUCUAUACGUAGCUCCUUCGACGAGUCGAGUUGUUUGGGAAUGCAGCUCUAAAUGGGAGGUAAAUUUCUUCUAAAGCUAAAUAUUGGCCAGAGACCGAUAGCGCACAAGUAGAGUGAUCGAAAGAUGAAAAGCACUUUGGAAAGAGAGUUAAAAAGCACGUGAAAUUGUUAAAAGGGAAGGGAUUGCAACCAGACUUGCUCGCGGUGUUCCGCCGGUCUUCUGACCGGUCUACUCGCCGCGUUGCAGGCCAGCAUCGUCUGGUGCCGCUGGAUAAGACUUGAGGAAUGUAGCUCCCUCGGGAGUGUUAUAGCCUCUUGUGAUGCAGCGAGCGCCGGGCGAGGUCCGCGCUUCGGCUAGGAUGCUGGCGUAAUGGUCGUAAUCCGC
rnacentral:rRNA from 1 species